AUUGAACGCUGGCGGCAGGCUUAACACAUGCAAGUCGAACGAGUGGCGGACGGGUGAGUAAUGCUUGGGAAUCUGGCUUAUGGCGGGGGAUAACUACGGGAAACUGUAGCUAAUACCGCGUACCAUUGGAUGAGCCCAAGUGGGAUUAGGUAGUUGGUGAGGUAAAGGCUCACCAACCGACGAUCUGUAGCUGGUCUGAGAGGAUGACCAGCCACACUGGGACUGAGACAUGGCCCAGACUCCUACGGGAGGCAGCAGUGGGGAAUUUUGCGCAAUGGGGGCAACCCUGACGCAGCCAUGCCGCGUGAAUGAAGAAGGCCUUCGGGUUGUAAAGUUCUUUCGGUAGCGAAGCGUUAACUACAGAAGAAGCACCGGCUAACUCCGUGCCAGCAGCCGCGGUAAUAC
rnacentral:rRNA from 1 species